AGGGUUUGAUCCUGGCUCAGGAUGAACGCUGGCGGCGUGCUUAACACAUGCAAGUCGAACGAAGACAUACCGACGGAAUCCUUCGGGAGGAAGAUGGUAUGGACUGAGUGGCGGACGGGUGAGUAACGCGUGGGUAACCUGCCCUGUACAGGGGGACAACAGUUAGAAAUGACUGCUAAUACCGCAUAAGCCCACAGGUCGGCAUCGACCAGAGGGAAAAGGAGCAAUCCGCUUUGAGAUGGCCUCGCGUCCGAUUAGCUAGUUGGUGAGGUAAUGGCCCACCAAGGCGACGAUCGGUAGCCGGACUGAGAGGUUGAACGGCCACAUUGGGACUGAGACACGGCCCAG
rnacentral:rRNA from 1 species